rnacentral:rRNA from 1 species
AACGAACGCUGGCGGCGUGCUUAACACAUGCAAGUCGAGCGAUGAAGCUCCUUCGGGAGUGGAUUAGCGGCGGACGGGUGAGUAACACGUGGGUAACCUGCCUCAUAGAGGGGAAUAGCCUUUCGAAAGGAAGAUUAAUACCGCAUAAGAUUGUAGCUUCGCAUGAAGCAGCAAUUAAAGGAGUAAUCCGCUAUGAGAUGGACCCGCGUCGCAUUAGCUAGUUGGUGAGGUAACGGCUCACCAAGGCGACGAUGCGUAGCCGACCUGAGAGGGUGAUCGGCCACAUUGGGACUGAGACACGGCCCAGACUCCUACGGGAGGCAGCAGUGGGGAAUAUUGCACAAUGGGGGAAACCCUGAUGCAGCAACGCCGCGUGAGUGAUGACGGUCUUCGGAUUGUAAAGCUCUGUCUUCAGGGACGAUAAUGGCGGUACCUGAGGAGGAAGCCACGGCUAACUACGUGCCAGCCGCCGCGGUAACAC